rnacentral:rRNA from 1 species
AGCGAACGCUGGCGGCAGGCCUAACACAUGCAAGUCGAACGAACUCUUCGGAGUUAGUGGUGGACGGGUGAGUAACACGUGGGAACGUGCCUUUAGGUUCGGAAUAACUCAGGGAAACUUGUGCUAAUACCGAAUGUGCCCUUCGGGGAAAGAUUUAUCGCCUUUAGAGCGGCCCGCGUCUGAUUAGCUUGUUGGUGGGGUAAUGGCCCACCAAGGCUACGAUCAGUAGCUGGUCUGAGAGGAUGACCAGCCACAUUGGGACUGAGACACGGCCCAAACUCCUACGGGAGGCAGCAGUGGGGAAUCUUGCGCAAUGGGCGAAAGCCUGACGCAGCCAUGCCGCGUGUAUGAUGAAGGUCUUAGGAUUGUAAAAUACUUUCACCGGUGAAGAUAAUGACUGUAGCCGGAGAAGAAGCCCCGGCUAACUUCGUGCCAGCAGCCGCGGUAAUACGAAGGGGGCUAGCGUUGCUCGGAAUUACUGGGCGUAAAGGGAGCGUAGGCGGACAUUU